GCCGGAGUGGUGAAAUUGGUAGACGCAGAGGACUCAAAAUCCUCCGGGCCUUGCGCCCAUGGGGGUUCGAUUCCCCCCUCCGGCACCA
rnacentral:tRNA from 2 species